CCUACGGGUUGCAGCAGUGGGGAAUAUUGCACAAUGGGGGAAACCCUGAUGCAGCCAUGCCGCGUGUAUGAAGAAGGCCCUAGAGUUGUAAAGUACUUUCAGUCGGGAGGAAGGCGUUGAUGCUAAUAUCAUCAACGAUUGACGUUACCGACAGAAGAAGCACCGGCUAACUCCGUGCCAGCAGCCGCGGUAAUACGGAGGGUGCAAGCGUUAAUCGGAAUUACUGGGCGUAAAGCGCACGCAGGCGGUUGAUUAAGUUAGAUGUGAAAUCCCCGGGCUUAACCUGGGAAUGGCAUCUAAGACUGGUCAGCUAGAGUCUUGUAGAGGGGGGUAGAAUUCCAUGUGUAGCGGUGAAAUGCGUAGAGAUGUGGAGGAAUACCGGUGGCGAAGGCGGCCCCCUGGACAAAGACUGACGCUCAGGUGCGAAAGCGUGGGGAGCAAACAGGAUUAGAUACCCGUGUAGUC
rnacentral:rRNA from 1 species